ACUCUAAUCCGGUGAGUAACAUCCUCGUCAAUUUUCCUGUUGCCUUGACCAUCCCAAAAUAAUGUCCUCUAAUACAUAUAUUAUAUACACAAAGUAAUAACAGGUCUAGUUUUAUUGUCAGCGCCACAUGUUUUCUCAAUAUAUAUUAAGUUGUUAAUAAGAGUGUAAACCAAUCCAAGAUAUUGAAGUAGUAUAGACGAAAUAAUAUUUUGUCCGUCCAUUUAUACAUUUUGAUGUAGUCUAGGAUUUUUAGCAUGAGUCUAAAUAUCUUAGCAAUUUUACUUGGAAAUACUUAAGAGAUUCUCGCCUCAGGGCUUUGGUGUAGUUGUAAGAGCAUAACACGUGAUGUUUGAUGUUUUGGUUCGGCGCAUGUCAUGGGCUAAAGACAAAACAAAGAUAAAUUCAGGAUUUAAGCUCUACGAGUUCAACCUUUUAAGUUUCUUAGCCUUGCACCCAUUUACUUUUAAAACUAUGGGUUCUUAUCAACUAUUUAUUACAAUUUUAGUGAAUGUUUUCACAUAACUGUAUGCUCCGCAUCGCUAGCAACGAACCCGAUACUUAUAAGUUGCAUCUGUCCCUGGACAAAAACCUAGUUUUUUUAGCAGA
rnacentral:lncRNA from 1 species